CCGAAUCUCGGCCCGGGGGGGGAUGUCUAGUAGUAUUUCGGAGUGCUGUCGCUGGCCUUCGGGCAAAUGUGCACGUCUCCGGAGUCCGACGGCGUCCCCUCACCGAUGCCUCUCCAAACACACCUGUGUGCACCUGUUGUAGGUCUCGUCACUGGGACCUAUGUAUUCCAUAUAAACUCGCAUGUAUACAGAACGUUGUCCAAUAUAAUA
rnacentral:misc_RNA from 1 species